rnacentral:rRNA from 1 species
AUGCCUACGGGGGGCAGCAGUGGGGGAUAUUGCACAAUGGGGGAAACCCUGAUGCAGCGACGCCGCGUGAGUGAAGAAGUAUUUCGGUACGUAAAGCUCUAUCAGCAGGGAAGAAAAAUGACGGUACCUGACUAAGAAGCCCCGGCUAACUACGUGCCAGCAGCCGCGGUAAUACGUAGGGGGCAAGCGUUAUCCGGAUUUACUGGGUGUAAAGGGAGCGUAGACGGCAGUGCAAGUCUGAAGUGAAAUGCCGGGGCCCAACCCCGGACCGGCUUUGGAACCUGUACAGCUA